rnacentral:rRNA from 1 species
UGGGGAAUCUUGGACAAUGGGGGCAACCCUGAUCCAGCCAUGCCGCGUGAGUGAUGAAGGCCUUAGGGUCGUAAAGCUCUUUCGCCUGUGAAGAUAAUGACGGUAGCAGGUAAAGAAACCCCGGCUAACUCCGUGCCAGCAGCCGCGGUAAUACGGAGGGGGUUAGCGUUGUUCGGAAUUACUGGGCGUAAAGCGCACGUAGGCGGACCAGAAAGUUGGGGGUGAAAUCCCGGGGGCUCAACCCCGGAACUGCCUCCAAAACUAUUGGUCUAGAGUUCGAGAGAGGUGAGUGGAAUUCCAAGUGUAGAGGUGAAAAUUCGUAGAUAUUUGGAGGAACACCAGUGGCGAAAGGCGGCUCACUGGCUCGAUACUGACGCUGAGGUGCGAAAAGUGUGGGGAGCAAAACAGGAUUAGAUACCCUGGUAGUCCACACCGUAAAACGAUGAAUGCCAGUCGUCGGGUAGCAUGCUAUUCGGUGAC